rnacentral:rRNA from 1 species
UACGAAGGGGGCUAGCGUUGCUCGGAAUCACUGGGCGUAAAGCGCACGUAGGCGGGUUCUUAAGUCAGGGGUGAAAUCCCAGAGCUCAACUCUGGAACUGCCUUUGAUACUGGGAAUCUUGAGUCCGGGAGAGGUGAGUGGAACUGCGAGUGUAGAGGUGAAAUUCGUAGAUAUUCGCAAGAACACCAGUGGCGAAGGCGGCUCACUGGCCCGGUACUGACGCUGAGGUGCGAAAGCGUGGGGAGCAAACAGG